ACAAAUGGGUCAUAGAGAAUCAGCCUCAGUCAGCGACCCCAGCCCCCUGCACUUUGUCUCUGUGAGUCUGGGAAUCAACGGACACGGGCUGAAAUCCAAAUUUUGUAUGUCUCAGCUGUGCCGUUACAGGUAAGUUAUUCAUCCUUUCAGAGCCUGCAGUGGUUGCUUUGAUGACUAACUUAGCUGACCUGUGCGAAGCGCCUGGCACUGGGUAACCCCAAGCAAGAGCUUGCUGGAAAUGGUUGUCACAUUCCUAACAUAAAUCCUUUCUCAUCUUUCCAGCGUGUCGGUGUCGGUUGGCAUAAUCCAGUCAUGGCAUCUGAGCACUGCCUGCCCAGCACACGCACCCUUUGGAGACGUUUCACACACGGUGCCCCCCAGGAGCAUCUGCUCAGCAGGACAGCCAGGUGCCUUGAUGAGGAGAGCAGGGACCAAAAAGAAGGACUCCAGCCCGGUGCCUUCACUUGCCCGCUGUGCCACGUUGGACAAGCUCCGUCACUUCUCUGAGCCUCCGUUUCCUCCCUGUAAUACUGCCAGGAUCCCGCGCCCUGUCCGCAGAGGAUUUGGUGAGGAACUGAGUGUGAAGCACUUGGAAACCCACCCGCGUGAGGCAGAUCCUCGGUAAGUCACAGCUAGCUUCACUAUUCCCUUUUCACAGAUGGAGAAACCGAGUCCCAGAGAAAGGAAGUGACUCAUCCAAUGUCAUGUGGAAAGGACUCCUCACAGAGCUAGAGCUUAAAAGCCAGAUCUUUACAGUCCCAGUUAGUGCUCAGCUCCUCCUUUCUCAUGAUCGGGAUUUGUAACUAUUUCAUGACAAGUGUGUUUUCAGUGGGUGGAAAGACGCAACUUUGAACUCUGUGAGCCUGGCCAGUUUCAGCCUGAUCCAGAAGCAGCUCACUCAUAAAAGGACCCCUCUCUAGAAGAGAACAGGAGUCUCUUCUAGGUGGGUGUAGGAAGAACAAGACCCAGAGGCCAGAGGACCUGGAGGACAGAGGUGACAUAAUCACGGGUGUGAGCAGCAGCUUUGUGGUCAAAGAGACCCCCAUACAAAUCCCAUCUCUGCCAGUACUUAGCUGUGUGACCAGCCAACAGACACUAACUCUCUGAGCCUUGGUUUUUCAUCUGUAAAGCUUCCAACAGUACCUCUUUCAAAGGGAUGUAGUAGGAAUUCAAUCAGACAACAGAGUUAGAGUACCUGGCCCAGCCUUCCAAAGUCCCCAGGUCACAGAUGAGGCAGCUAAAUCCAAGACAGAAGAAGGGCCUUGGUGAAGACCACAGAGCCAGUCCUAUGACCCAAGACGUGCCAGGAGUCAGUGUGAGCUCAGUGACACAAAGAGAUUCUGACAGUGGCCAGAGGCUUUUCUGGGAAGAGAUCAGAAGUGAUCUUUCAGGGUACCUGGGUGGCUCAGUCGUUGGGCGUCUGCCUUCCGCUUGGGUCAUGAUCCCAGGGUCCUGGGAUCGAGCCCUGCAUCAGGCUCCCUACUCGGCGGGAGGCCUGCUUCUCC